UACGUAGGGUGCAAGCGUUGCCCGGAUUUAUUGGGCGUAAAGGGCGCGUAGGUGGUUCUGUAUGUCUACCGUGAAAGCGUACGGCUCAACCGUAUUUUGUCGGUGGAAACUGCAGGACUUGAGGCUGGGAGGGGCUGGUGGAAUUCCCUGUGUAGCGGUGAAAUGCGUAGAGAUGGGGGAGAACACUCGUGGCGAAGGCGGCCAGCUAGACCAGUUCUGACACUGAGGCGCGACAGCGUGGGGAGCAAACAGG
rnacentral:rRNA from 1 species